rnacentral:rRNA from 1 species
AGGUUAAGCUAAUAAGAGCGUAUGGUGGAUGCCUAGGCGCUAGGAGCCGAAGAAGGACGGAGCGAACGCCGAAACGCCACGGGGAGCUGUAAGCAAGCAUUGAGCCGUGGAUAUCCGAAUGGGGGAACCCAGUAUCCGUAAUGGGAUAUUACCCAUACCUGAACACAUAGGGUAUGAGGAGGCAGACUCAGGGAACUGAAACAUCUAAGUACCUGGAGGAAAAGAAAACAAAAGUGAUUCCCUAAGUAGCGGCGAGCGAACGGGGAGAAGCCCAAACCUAUACUAUGUAAGCCUACAAGCGUUGUAAUAUAGGUGUUGCGGGGCAUAGAAAGGGUGUUUGUAGCCACCCACAAAGACAACAAACGGUAUUCGAACCAAUUGGGAAAUUGGACCGAAGAAGGUGAAAGUCCUGUAGAAGAAACCGUUUCGCGCUUUGUCUAUGACCCCAAGUACGGCGGGACACGAGAAAUCCCGUCGGAAUCCAGGAGGACCAUCUCCUAAGGCUAAAUACUACCUAGCGACCGAUAGUGAACCAGUACCGUGAGGGAAAGGUGAAAAGCACCCCGGGAGGGGAGUGAAAUAGAACCUGAAACCAUAUGCUUACAAGCAGUCGGAGCACGUUAAAAGUGUGACGGCGUGCCUUUUGUAGAAUGAACCGGCGAGUUAUGG